rnacentral:tRNA from 1 species
GCCCAGAUACACCAAGCGGCAGAGCGGUCCGGCUCAAACCCGGAUGUUCGCAGGUCCGAAUCCUGCUCUGGGUA